UACGGCCAUAUAAAUUUGAAACACCGGUUCUCUUGCGAUCAUUGUAGUUAAGCAACAUCGACUCUGGUCAGUACCUAUAUAGGUAACCGCUUGGGAAUUCCAUGCGCUGCAUU